UGCGGAGCUUACCAUGCAGUCGAGCGGAACGAUGGUAGCUUGCUACCAGGCGUCGAGCGGCGGACGGGUGAGUAAUACUUAGGAAUCUACCUAGUAGUGGGGGAUAGCUCGGGGAAACUCGAAUUAAUACCGCAUACGACCUACGGGAGAAAGGGGGCAGUUUACUGCUCUCGCUAUUAGAUGAGCCUAAGUCGGAUUAGCUAGAUGGUGGGGUAAAGGCCUACCAUGGCGACGAUCUGUAGCUGGUCUGAGAGGAUGAUCAGCCACACCGGGACUGAGACACGGCCCGGACUCCUACGGGAGGCAGCAGUGGGGAAUAUUGGACAAUGGGGGAAACCCUGAUCCAGCCAUGCCGCGUGUGUGAAGAAGGCCUUUUGGUUGUAAAGCACUUUAAGCAGUGAAGAAGACUCCGUGGUUAAUACCCACGGACGAUGACAUUAGCUGCAGAAUAAGCACCGGCUAACUCUGUGCCAGCAGCCGCGGUAA
rnacentral:rRNA from 1 species